UACGAAGGGGGCAAGCGUUGUUCGGAAUUACUGGGCGUAAAGGGCGCGUAGGCGGCUUAUCAAGUCAGGCGUGAAAUUCCCGGGCUCAACCUGGGGGCUGCGCUUGAUACUGCUUGGCUUGAAUGCGGGAGAGGAUAGUGGAAUUCCCAGUGUAGAGGUGAAAUUCGUAGAUAUUGGGAAGAACACCGGUGGCGAAGGCGGCUAUCUGGCCCGUAAUUGACGCUGAGGCGCGAAAGCGUGGGGAGCAAACAGG
rnacentral:rRNA from 1 species